AAAGAAAGAAAAGGAAGGAAGGAAGGAAGGGAAGGAAGGAAGGAAGGAAGGAAGAGAGAGAGAGAAAGAGAGAGAGAGAGAGAGAGAAAGGUAGGAAGGAAGAAAGAAAAGAAAAAAAAAAAGAAGUGUCUGAUAGUUAAUGUUCAAUUGUCCAUGUGGCUGCGAUGAAGCCUCUCCAUUGCUGCAAAUCACCACUAACAUCUGCUACCUCAGCUAUCCCGUUACUCACCUGCCCUCUAAUAUUACAGACCAGCCAGAGAGAUAAUGUAAGUUACUGACCCAGAGAGAGUGUCUGUUGAUCUGGCUGUUUUAACUCGUCUGUGGCAGAACACUGAAAUGACUUUCUUUUAACAAUGCGACGUGUCUGCAACUUGGUGAUUUGGGCACAGUCUCUUAAAUUGUAAAAUGGCAAAGUGUGGCACCCCCAUAAAAAAAUGAUCGGGGGGGUUCCCUGGUGGACAGUGGUUGUCACUCCUGUGCUUGGGUUCCAUCCCUGGCCUGGGAACUUCCACAUGCCAUGGGCGUGGCCCAAAAAAUGACCUGGGCCUCUAAGGAGAUAGCUAAUCCUGACUCAUGGAAUGUAAUUGCUGUUUUCAUCUUCAAGUGCAGAAGAUCAGUGUCUCACUGGCAGCUUUGGUGUGGGACAAAGAGCAGUAAAACUUGAAGUCAAGGUGGUAAACCAUAUUUCUUGGGAAAGCUACCUAGCAUCUAUAAGCUUGUUUCCUCAUCUAUAAAUAGAGGAAAAUAACUCUCCUGUGGAGAUUCUCCAAGAUCUAAAUGGACAAAUGCAUUUGAGGUAAAUCUCUUGGCAAAUGGCAUUGGUGGAGUUCCUGUCGUGGCACAGUGGAAACGAAUCCGACCAGGAACCAUGACGUUGCGGGUUCGAUCCCUGGCCUUGCUCAGUGGGUUAAGGAUCUGGCGUUGCCGUGAGCUGUGGUGUAGGUCACAGAUGCAGCUCAGAUCUGGUGUGGCUGGCUGUGGUGUAGGCUGGUGGCUACAGUUCCGAUUGGACCCCUAGCCUUGGAACCUCCAUGUGCCAUGGGUGAGGCCCU
rnacentral:lncRNA from 1 species